UACGGAGGGGGCUAGCGUUGUUCGGAAUUACUGGGCGUAAAGCGUGCGCAGGCGGUUUUGUAAGUCUGUCGUGAAAGCCCCGGGCUCAACCUGGGAAUGGCGAUGGAGACUGCAAGGCUAGAGUGUGUCAGAGGGGGGUAGAAUUCCACGUGUAGCAGUGAAAUGCGUAGAGAUGUGGAGGAACACCGAUGGCGAAGGCAGCCCCCUGGGAUAACACUGACGCUCAUGCACGAAAGCGUGGGGAGCAAACAGG
rnacentral:rRNA from 1 species